rnacentral:ncRNA from 1 species
AUUGAGGAGGAUCGUCCAUCCUACUUUGGUUCGUUGUUAUAUAUGGCUGUCUCUCUGCAACAGACGACAUAAGAGCGCGAGAUAUCGGAGAUUGCUUUUUGUUUAUACCGUACUACCAUGAGUCUUCGCCGAGAGAUAUGUAGAUGGCUUGAAGAGCAUGACAUAUACUGUGUGUCGAUAUUUCUCCUCGGACUUGAAAAUUUAUGGGGGGACACGCAAACUUCUCAACAGGCCGUACCAAUAUCCGCAGCUGGUCUCCAAGGUGAAGAGUCUCUAGUCGAUAGAAUAAUGUAGGUAAGGGAAGUCGGCAAAUUAGAUCCGUAACUUCGGGAUAAGGAUUGGCUCUGAAGAUUGAGAUAGUCGGGCUUGAUUGGGAAACAAUAACAUGGUUUAUGUGCUCGUUCUGGGUAAAUAGAGUUUCUAGCAUUUAUGUUAGUUACUUGUUCCCCGGAUAGUUUAGUUACGUAGCCAAUUGUGGAACUUUCUUGCUAAAAUUUUUAAGAAUACUAUUUGGGUUAAACCAAUUAGUUCUUAUCAAUUAUAACGAUUAUCAAUUAACAAUCAAUUCAGAACUGGCACGGACUUGGGGAAUCCGACUGUCUAAUUAAAACAAAGCAUUGUGAUGGCCCUAGCGGGUGUUGACACAAUGUGAUUUCUGCCCAGUGCUCUGAAUGUCAAAGUGAAGAAAUUCAAGUAAGCGCGGGUCAACGGCGGGAGUAACUAUGACUCUCUUAAGGACUCUCUUAAGGAACUAUGACUCUCCCUGACGCCAGGGAGGUGCCGUCAGGUAUUAUGUUGCGAAUAAUGAACCUAAUUCUAUGGUGCGGUAAUCUACCACACUCUAUCCGACUGGCCAGAACCGUCUUCAUCCCGAAAACGGUGACGGCGAAGCGACCGCAAGACUUUCGUCCAAUAUCGGUGCCUUCAGUCCUGGUAAGACAGCUAAAUGCCAUAUUGGCAACCCGGUUGAACUCAUCAAUCAAUUGGGACCCGCGCCAGCGGGGCUUCUUACCUACCGACGGAUGUGCCGAUAAUGCGACGAUAGUUGACUUAGUCUUGAGGCAUAGCCAUAAGCACUUUAGAUCUUGCUACAUAGCUAAUUUAGAUGUAAGCAAGGCAUUCGAUUCUUUAUCGCAUGCAUCUAUAUAUGACACCUUACGUGCUUAUGGUGCGCCAAAGGGCUUCGUUGACUACGUACAGAAUACGUACGAGGGUGGCGGUACCAGUCUCAAUGGGGACGGUUGGAGUUCAGAGGAAUUCGUCCCUGCUAGAGGAGUGAAGCAGGGUGACCCUUUGUCUCCUAUUCUAUUUAACUUGGUAAUGGACAGGUUACUUAGAAACCUACCCAGCGAAAUUGGUGCCAAAGUCGGAAAUGCCAUUACUAACGCGGCCGCGUUUGCAGAUGAUUUGGUACUAUUUGCUGAAACUCGAAUGGGACUUCAAGUAUUGUUGGACAGAACGUUGGAUUUUCUAUCUCUCGUCGGCCUUAAACUUAAUGCCGACAAAUGUUUUACCGUUGGCAUUAAGGGCCA